GCGUUGUUCGGAUUUACUGGGCGUAAAGGGCGCGUAGGCGGUCAGCACAAGUCAGUUGUGAAAUCUCCGAGCUUAACUCGGAAAGGUCAACUGAUACUGUGCGACUAGAGUGCAGAAGGGGCAACUGGAAUUCUUGGUGUAGCGGUGAAAUGCGUAGAUAUCAAGAGGAACACCUGCGGCGAAGGCGGGUUGCUGGGCUGACACUGACGCUGAGGCGCGAAAGCUA
rnacentral:rRNA from 1 species